rnacentral:rRNA from 1 species
UACGUAGGUGGCAAGCGUUGUCCGGAUUUACUGGGCGUAAAGAGCGCGCAGGCGGUCGAAUAAGUCGAAUGUGAAAGCCCCCGGCUUAACUGGGGAGGGUCAUUCGAUACUGCUCGACUUGAAGGCAGGAGAGGGUAGUGGAAUUCCCGGUGUAGUGGUGAAAUGCGUAGAUAUCGGGAGGAACACCGGUGGCGAAGGCGGUCUGCUGGGCAGUGGCUCGCAAGGGCCAAUAGCCGACACUGAGGCGCGACAGCGUGGGGAGCAAACAGG